CUGAUCUGAAAUUAAGCUGAAGUGAACAGGCGCUAAGACCUAAAGGGCAAGUAGUAGUGGAUUGGGCCGGGUCUUUUCGGUCUGUUUCUUAUUUUUUUUGGUUUUUCUAUAGAAAGAAUAGCGUUAAAUUUCGUUUUCUGGUCGUAUUCUACUAUUCUCUAGCCCAGUGGCAACGAACACAAGGUGAAAAAAGUAGAAUGGCACCGUCUUAAUGGCACCGGUUCUUCAAAACCGGUGGCAAAAACAUGGGUUAAAGUAGGCGGGUUUUAAUUUUUAGAAGAGGUUUUUGGCACCGGUCUGAACCGAACCGGUGCCAAAAACCUUUUUUAAAAAAAAAAAAAAACUCUUAUAUAUUUCCCUAAACCCUACCCUCCCUCCUCUCUUCUCUCUCCUGAUCUCCUCUAGCCUCCUCUCUUCUCUCUCCUGAUCUCCUCUAGCCUCCUCUCUUCUCUCUCCUCUCCUCUCCUCUCUCUCUUCUCUCUCCUCUCUCCUCUCCCUAAAAAAAACCCCCUUGUUCACCUAAACACCACCGAAGACGACCACCAACACCACCACCAAGUCCAAUACUCAAGACCACGAACAACAACGAAUCUAAUCAAGAUGGGUACAUCAAUUUAGAUCUUAAAUUGAAGAAUCAAGAUUCAAGAAUAUUGAUUUAGAUGUGUAGGGUUAAUUUUUUAUUUAUAUUCUAAUUUUUUUUUAUUUACGAGUAUAUUGUAAUUUUUUUAAUUUAUAAUGUAAAUUUUAUUUAUUUAUUUAUAUGUUGUAAUUGAUUGUAAUAUUUUUUUUAUUAUAUAUUGUAAAAUUUGGAUUAUAUUGAUUGAAAUUCGUCAGAUUUAAUUGUGA